rnacentral:lncRNA from 1 species
GUCUUUAAAAUACAUUAUAGAGUGGGCCGAACGAGUUCAGAGUGGGAUAUUCCACGUGUGGGUUGCUCCUUCUGCCUGGGUCCCUGAGUGAGAAGAACUGCCCAUGGCCUCCAUAUACUUAAGAAGACAGUCAAAAUCCCUGCCCUCAUGAUGCUUAUAUUUUUGUGGUUUGGUCUGAAGACUGGACAGAUUGAGCAUAUUGAAAAGGGAGCUUUCUGCCUAAGCUGUCGGACAAAUUCAGUUCAAAGCCAUAGAUAAAGAAUGAAGAAUAGCUGCCAGUGGUCCUACAAAUUUGAAGAUUUGAAGCCCAUUACAGUGUUGAAGAUGGUUUUCUUCCCGUUGCCAUCAUUUCAAGUUAGGGUGGAUUUGACUCCGAGAGGCUCAGAGCUGUACGUAAACUCCUCCAGGGCAGGACCUGACUCUUCAGAAGAAUUUUUUAACCCCUGCACCCCCACCCCCCACCCUGGAGCUGCCCAGGUCAAGGCCCUGAUAGAGCAGACGUUCAAGAGCAAUGACUAACUGCAGUUGAAAGCCCAGAAGAUACAACAAGCAAAAUCCUGCAUGAAAGAACUUUGCUCCAGACUAAGAUGUAAUCCAGUCAUUCCCUUUUCAUAAGACAAGUGUUGUCUGAAGGGGUCUGCAUGUGAUUUUGAGGCGAAAGGGCAGACAGAGCAGCAGAACUCAGGUCCCACUUUGCCCUGUAUCUGGAGCCUAUGAAAGGGGAAAGGAAGUGAGCCAUCUCGAUUCCCCAAGACAGCUGGGCAAGCACAGAGAAUGAGCUUUAAGAUUCAUAGUGGAGGAGUUCCCGUCAUGGCGCAGUGGUUAACAAAUCCGACUAGGAACCAUGAGGUUGUGGGUUCGGUCCCUGCCCUUGCUCAGUGGGUUGAUGAUCCGGCGUUGCUGUGAGCUGUGGUGUAGGUUGCAGAUGCAGCUCGGAUCCCACGUUGCUGUGGCUAUGGCAUAGGCCAGUGGCUAUAGCUCCAAUUAGACCCCUAGCCUGGGAAUCUCCAUAUGCCUCGGGAGUGGCCCAAGAAAUAGCAAAAAGACCAAAAAAUAAAUAAAUAAAU